GCUACGGUGUCUUUAGACACCACCACUGCUCUCGGAUAAGUUCUAU
rfam:Picea glauca, whole genome shotgun sequence.